CGUGCUAACACAUGCAAGUCGAACGAGAAAGUGGAGCAAUCCAUGAGUACAGUGGCGUACGGGUGAGUAACACGUGACUAACCUACCCUCGAGUGGGGAAUAACUUCGGGAAACCGAGGCUAAUACCGCAUAACAUCUACGGAUCAAAUGCGCAAGCAGCUUGAGGAGGGGGUCGCGGCUGAUUAGCUAGUUGGCGGGGUAACGGCCCACCAAGGCAAUGAUCAGUAGCCGGCCUGAGAGGGCGCACGGCCACACUGGAACUGAAACACGGUCCAGACUCCUACGGGAGGCAGCAGUGGGGAAUUUUGCGCAAUGGGGGAAACCCUGAUGCAGCAACGCCGCGUGGAGGAUGAAGCCCCUUGGGGUGUAAACUCCUUUCGAUCGGGACGAUAUGACGGUACCGGAUGAAGAAGCACCGGCUAACUCUGUGCCAGCAGCCGCGGUAAUACAGAGGGUGCAAGCGUUGUUCGGAAUUAUUGGGCGUAACGGGUGCGUAGGCGGUGCGGUAAGU
rnacentral:rRNA from 1 species